rnacentral:rRNA from 1 species
GUCGAACGGAAAGGCCCUGCUUGCAGGGUACUCGAGUGGCGAACGGGUGAGUAACACGUGGGUGAUCUGCCCUGCACUUCGGGAUAAGCCUGGGAAACUGGGUCUAAUACCGGAUAGGACCAUCGUUUAGUGUCGGUGGUGGAAAGUUUUUCGGUGCAGGAUGAGCUCGCGGCCUAUCAGCUUGUUGGUGGGGUAAUGGCCUACCAAGGCGUCGACGGGUAGCCGGCCUGAGAGGGUGGACGGCCACAUUGGGACUGAGACACGGCCCAGACUCCUACGGGAGGCAGCAGUGGGGAAUAUUGCACAAUGGGCGCAAGCCUGAUGCAGCGACGCCGCGUGGGGGAUGAAGGCCUUCGGGUUGUAAACUCCUUUCAACCAUGACGAAGCAUUAUGKGACGGUAGKGGUARAARAAGCACCGGYUAACUACGKGCCAGCAGCCGCGGUAAUACGUAGGGKGCGAGCGUUGUCCGGAAUUACUGGGCGUAAAGAGCUCGWAGGKGGUUUGUCGCGYCGUCKGUGAAAUUCCGGGGYUUAMYUCCGGGCGKGCAGGCRAUACGGGCWUAACUUGAGKGYUGUAGGGRAGAYUGGAAUUCCUGGUGUAGCGGUGAAAUGCGCARAUAUCAGGAGRAACACCAAUGGCGAAGGCAGGUCUCUGGGCAGUAACUGACGCURAGGASCGAAAGCAUGGGUAGCRAACAGGAUUAGAUACCCUGGUAGUCCAUGCCGUAAACGGUGGGCGCUAGGUGUGGGGGUCUUCCACACUUCUGUGCCG